UUCAUUUUCACGUAGUUCAAAAUAUUUUUAAAUUUCUCUUGAGAUUUCUUCUGUGCUCCAUGUGUUAUUUAGAAGUGUGUUGUUUAAUCUCCAAGUAGUUAGGGAUUUUCCAUUAUCUUCCUGUUACUGAUUUCUAGUUUAAUUCUGUUAUGGGCUAAGAGCGGAUAUUGUAUGAUUUGUGUUCUUUUAAAUUUGUUGAGGUGUGUUCUUGUCUGAAUGUGGUCUGUCUUGGUGAGUGUUCCAUGUGAGCUUGUGGUGAGUGUGUGUUCUGCUGUUGCUGCAUGAAGUAAUCUAUAGCUGUCAGUUCUAGCCAGUUGAUUGAUGUCGUUGCUCAGUUCCGUUAUGUCCUUGGCUGAGUUUCUGUCUACUGGAUCUGUCCGUUUCUGAGACAGGGUGUCACAGUCUCCAUCUAUAAUAGUGGAUUCAUCUAUUUCUCCUUGCAGUUUUAUCAGUUUUUGCCUCACGUAGUUUGACGCUCUGUUGUUAGGCACAUACACAUUAAGAAUUACGUCUUCUUGGAGAAUUGACCCCUUUAUCAUUGUCUAGUACACUUCUUUAUCCCUGAUACUUUCCUUGUUUUGAGAUUUGCUCUGUCUGAAACUAAUAUAGCUACUCCUGCUUCCUUUUCAUUCAUGUUAGCAUGCUGUAUCUUUCUCCAUCCUUUACUUUUAAUCUGUAUAUAUAUGUGUCUUUGUAUUUAAAGUGGGUAUCUUGUAGACCACAUGUAGUUGGGUCUGACUCUCUGUGUCUUGGUACGUUUAGACCAUUGGCGUUCACAGUGAUUAUUGCCAUAGUUGGAUUAAUGUCUGCCGUAUUUUUUACUGAUUUCCGUUUGUUGCUUCCCUUGGUCUUUGUUCCUAUUUUUGUCUUCCGUGCUUUUUCUGCCUUUUGUGGUUUUAAUUGGGCAUUUUGUAUGGUUUAAUUUUCUCUUCAUCCAUAGCAUAUCAGUUAUACUUCUUUUUACUUUCUUUAGCAGUUGUCCUAGAGUUUGCAAUAUACACUUACAGCUAAUCCAAGUCUACUUUCAAAUCAUACUGCACAACUUCAUGAGUAACGUGAGCACCUUAUGACAACAGAGUGUCCUAAUUCCUCCCUCCCAUCCCUGUGUCAGUGCUGUCAUUCAUUUCAUUAUCUCCCAGCUACAGUCAUUGACUACAUUGUUGCUAUUAUUUUGAACAAACUGCCAUCUGUUAGAUCAGUUAAAAGUAAGAAAGGUAAAUUUUUUAUUUUGCCUUCACUCAUUCCUUCUCUAAUGCUCUUCCUUUCUCUAUGUAGAUCUGAGUUUCUUUCCUACACCGUCGUUGUUGUCUCUUUGAAGAACUUCCCCCAACAUUUCUUGCAAGGCAGGUCUACUGGCAACAAACUGCCUGGGUUUGUGUUUGUCUGAGAAGGGCUUUGUUUUUCCUUCACUUUUGAAGGAUAAUUUUGCAGGAUACAGAAUUCUAGGUUGGGGGUUUUUUCCCUCAACACUUUAAAUAUGUCACUUCCCUCUCUUCUUGCCUGGUUUCUGAGGAGAAGUCGAUGUGAUUCUUAUCUUUGUUCCUCUGUAGCUGAGGUGUUUUGUUGUCUGGCUCUUUCAGGGUUUUUCUUUAUCUUGGUGUUCUGCAGUUUGAGUAGGAUGUGCUCAUUCUAGGUUUUCGGCAUGAGAUCAUCUUUAACCUGCACCACAAUAAGGGCAAGGUUUAGCGCCUGGUGCCGCACCCAGGCAGGACAGACAGCCGUGGCAUCGGGGCCCUGGCCUCCGCCCAGUGCUGCCACAGUGCUUGACAGCUCUCCACAGGGGCGCCUGCUGCCCUCCAGGAGCCCCCAGCCCUGAGUGAGGGAGGGGCUGCACUGGCUUUGGAGAGGUGUUGGCGAAGCAUGUGUUGGAGGCGGGGCGCCAGUGUGGUGCUGUUUCUGCCGUAUCUCAGCCGCGCCCCGAGCCUGGAGCCCGGCGCUGCCCUAGGGCUGACGAGCAGGAAUCCUGGGGGGCCUGCUCCGUGUGGCGGGCUGGGGCAUGCACUCCGCACAUGUCCCUGACUGCGGAGUCUGUCAGCCACCCCAAGGACUAGAUGAUUGCGGGCACCUGAGUGGCCCUAGGAGAGGCCAGCCCAGGCUGCUGACUCAGAACCAUGAGCAAAUAAAAUGAUGUUGUUUUAAGCCAUCAAGUUUGGGGGUGGUUUGUCACAUGGCAGGAGGUAACUGACGCAUGCCCCUAGGCUGGGCGAGGGGCCCAUGCCGCAGCCUGCCCACUCCUAACUCCCUGACUCGAGGGGUCUGUGCCUCUGGCUGACCUCCUCACAGACGGGGCUCUCCAGGGGUCAGAUGGGCAGCGUUCAGGCCUGGUUCCUGAUUCCUGCUCAGUCGCUGGCGCUUCUGCUGCACCACCUCAGGCAAAUUGUGUGACUGCUGUGGCCACAGAGAAAUGGAGGUGACGACACUGCUCAUGGGGGCUCCCAAGGACUUGGAUAUGGAGAAUAAAGGUGUGUGUGUGUAGGUGUGUGUGAGUACGUGUAGGUGUGUGUGGUUGUGUAGGUAAGUCUGUUGGUGUGUAUGUGAGUGUAUAUGUAGGUCUGUGUGCAUGUGUACAUAUAGAUGUGUGGGUCUGUUAGGCAUCCAGCGUGUGGGUGUGCAUGCGUGUGUGUGUGUAUGUGAGCAUCUAGGCUAGGGUCAGGUAGAUGCCAGUCUGUAGGCAUUGCAUAAACAGGAACUAAUUUUGUUUAUUAUUUCACAGCAUGAGUUACCUUCUUAGAAAACCACUGCAGCCACAAGAACGACAGCCAACUAGUCAUUUAGAGAUGCUGGUCUCUGGCCAAGUGCAGUGGGCCGUGGGCGUUGGGUGGGGAGGCAGGAGUGGUGAAGAGUGGGGGCGUGUCGUUGCUGACCUCCCAGUGUUGCCGCAUUCCCCCUCACCAGCUCAGGAAAGCUUUCCGUGGCCCCUGGGUGCUCUGUGGGUCCCCACCUCUCAGCCUGGGGUAGGGGUGGGGACCUUGGGCUGGAUAUGCUCAAGCGCAAAGCCAGAAAGGUCCUGCCCAGCGGGACCCAGGGGAGGUUUGGGGCUGCUUCUGGAGGCAGGGAGUGAGAGUGAUUGACUCCUGUGCCAUGGGCCGGGCCCAGCCCUCAGGGACCCAGCGAGCUCCUGACUUAUUGCAGGGCACUGUUCCGAGUUCCCGCGCGGCCCAAGUCCCCAACAGACAGCCGAGUGUCUGUGGGUGCAGUGCUCGCCAGGGAUCCCUGCCUCGUUGGCAGCUGGUCGGGAAGACCUCCAUUUCACAUCUGUUUUCUGGGCAACGUCUACCCAGAGGAGAGCUGGGCGGACAAGUCAGCACGCAGGCACGCAGCCCAUCUGCUGUGGGAUUGGGUGGGUGUGGUGCAGGGGCGGUGUGCGUGGGGGCGAGAGUGUGGGCCCGGGAGUCGUGACACCCCAGCACUGUGCACCUGCAGCUGGUGGCGGGCCUUCUUGUCCCGUCUGUGGGCUACUGUGCACGGUGGCCGCGGCAGCAGCUGGCACCCUUCACCCUGGGUAGUUCUGAGGGUCGUGAGUUCACAUGAGGCUCUGUGCAAAUGCACGCUGGCUCGUUGGUCCCUAAUUUGCUAGUGGCCAUCCAGCAUCAGCUCUUGAGUAGGAGCAGCCGCUGAAGACUUUUAGGGCAACUUGGAGCUUGCUGUGCAGGAUGGGAGAGCGUCCGCUCUCAGCCCUCCGGCCCAGCAGACACCCCUCUUCUUUUAUUCCUGCGUCAGCCACGGGACUCAGCACAGAUUCUUCCCCCAUCCUUUAGGUUUUCCAGAACCUUCCAGCCCCCUGUCACCUGUUGCUGACAUCCCCACAUUUGCCCCGAGGGCGUGCCCCAGGUGCCAGGGACUGUCUGGGUUUCAUCUCAUUUAAUUGUCACUACAGACCCGUAAGUAGGUGUCAGCUCCCAGGGGCUGCUGUGACAAGGUCCCCAGACUUAAGACUGCAGAGGUCUCUUCCCGCCGUCUGGAGGCCGGGAGCCCAAAGCCAGGGUGUGGGCAGAGCUGCUUCCUUCUGAGACUGGGAGGGAAAAUGUGUCCCAGUCUGUUUGCUGGCCAUCUAGGGGUUCCUUGGCUUGUACGUGUGUCACCUGAUCUCUGCCUUAGCCAUCACAUGGCGCCCUCCCUGUGUGUGUCCGUGUGCAAGUUUCCCCAUUUUGUAAGGACGUGAGUCAGAUUGGACUAGGGCCCCCCACUCACCUCAUUUUAACUUGAUUACAUCUGCAAAGACCCUGUUUCCAAAUACGGUCACAGUCACAGGUACUGUUGGGGCUUAGGAUGCCGACACAUGAAUUUUGGGGGGACACAGUCUCUUAUGGUAGGCGCUAGGAUCCCAUUCAUAGGAGAGAAACUGAGGCACAGAGUGCUCUCACCAGAGAGCAGUGGGGGACCCCAGAAGCUCUCUGCAGCCCCUCCCUGUCACUUCCAGGCCCUCCUGGGUCUUCGUGGUCAGGGCCUUGGCUGGUCUUUGCUCUGAGUGGUCUGUGUGCCCAGCCCCCUGCCCUGCCCUCAGGUCGUCUGUGACUCUGGCUGAAGGACAGGUGAUUAGGGCCACCAUGGAGGACAUCCACCUCACGGGCCCCAGAGAGUGCUCACUCUGUUAGAUCAUGUCCUGCUUCGAGUCUCCUGGAGGCCCCUUGAUGGUGCGGGCCCAGCCCCUGCCUUUGCCACCAAGAAUGUGGGGCCGUGGGGCCCUCAUGGUACAUAGUAGGCACCCAGGUCCUUCACCUGAUUGGCAGCUCCACCUCUAGUCACUGCUGAUGGUUUCCCCACGUGGAGACCACCGCUCACGCCCAUGGCCAGCCCCUCACUUUCCCGUUCUGCACGCCGGCACCCCCGGACCUGUGCACCCUGAGAGCAGCUUAGUUCUUGGCUCCAGGAGGAAAGGGGCUUCCUGCCGGGGAUGGAGGGCGUGGGAGUGCAGCGGGGGUCUCAGAAAGAAUUUAUGGAAUUCUCUUCCAGUAAGAUCAUUUGUCACUCUGUUAGAUGUUCUCUUUAGUAUUUUCUGUCUCAUUUUCAUGCCUGCCUGGACUUCCUGGCUUGGGCUGAGGUCAAAUAGCAGAAGUACUGAAAUAUUUCUCAUCAAGCAUCUCAGGGUGCUUCUGAUCUGGCCCCAAACAGGAAGUUCUGUGAGUCGUGCCGCCGGAAGUCUCCGCAUCCACCGCGGGCUCUGUGCACACGGUGCAUCCCAGCACCUGCCCUGGGCUCCUGCAGGGCCACCUGGACUCUCAGCCCAAGGGGACCCGUUCCCGGCUUGGGGGAGAUGCCAUUAACUCACUGGGAUUACAGGACGGUUUGGGGGAAACUAGGACCCCAUCUGGAUUAGUGUCCUUGGGCGGCCGCAGCAAGUACCACAUUCUCUCACUGGGAUCCACGUGUGGGCAGGGCUGGUUCCUCCUGAGGCCUCUCCUUGCCGUGUAGAUGCAUCUUCUCCCUGUGCCCUUACGUGGCUGUCUGUCUGUACAUGUCUGUGUCUUCAUCUCUCAUAAGGACCCCAGUCAGAUUGGAUCAGGACCCACCCCGGUGACCUCAUUUCACCUCUAGCACCUCUUUAAAGACCCCAUCUGCAAAAGCAGCCACGUUCUGAGGUGCUGGGGUCAGGCCUUCAGCUUGUGGGUUUUUGGGGGACACAGUUUAACCUAUGAGACCAUCUUUUUUUGUUUUUAAGUCAAUGCAGAAGCUGAAGGUGAAGGUGUUAACCAUUUUGGGUGAAGUGGCGCACGCCUGACAGAGCAGAGCUCGUUCGAGUGGCACUCUGAGGCCGCCCUCCAGGACAGCCUCGGGGGCCCUCACCCCACGCUGGCCCCGCACAGCCCAGGACGCACGGCUGUGAAGGCUCUGGCUUGCCCUGUCGAGAGAGUUUCAGGGGGUACACAGAUUGUUUUUUUUUUAACUGUGGUGAGAUACAUGUAACAAAAGAGUUACCAUUUUAGCUGUUUUAACAUGUACAGCUCAGUGGCGGCAAGGACAGUCACAGUGCCGUGCAGCUGCCAGCAGAGACCAGCUCCAGACCCCUGUCAACCCCAACGCUGUGGCAGCGCCCAGCAGCCCGUUGCCCCCCUCUAGGACUCGUGCACUCUGGGUAUGUGGGUUCUGGAUCCCAGAGACCCUCCUGAGUUGGUCCUCAGACAAAAUUAAAAAAGAGGCUGCCUGGGUCUCAGAUUCCUCCCUCCCUGACCGCUGUGGGCCCACAGCCAGGGCCCGAAGCAUGUGCUGCCCGUUUCCUCAUCGGUUGGUCCCCUGGGUACUUAGGACAGUCCUGGACAGGCCAGUGACCAGAAGUGCUGCCGAUGACCAUGCUCUUCCCAGAGCCACCCAGACUGUCCCCUUGCGUCCGCCUGCUAGGGCUGGGAUGUGACCCCACUGUGCCCACCGGGGUUCCUUCUUCUGAGCCUGAGCUCCUGGCUGGCUGCCCUAGCCUGAUGUUCCAGAAGCCCCUCCCAAGAUGGGGUCCGUGGUUUGUGGAGGAGGGGCACGCAGGUCAGGGAGAAGCCCCCUGAGACGGGGUCCGUGGUUUGUGGAGGAGGGGCACGCAGGUCCGGGACAGGUGAGGGGCGGGAGGCAAGCAGACAGCAUUCAGGUGAUCGGGAGCCCCGGCUCUGGAGGGUGCAUUUGCCUCCAGAUUCCCUGCAGGGUGAGGGGUGGGCUUCCUCCCUCCGCCCCGUCUGUCUCAGUCCUGGGACACAGGUUCCCAGAUGCCUCUGGGAGCCGCAGUGCUGGCAGCUGGAGCCUGAGAGCCGAGAGGCCCCGCGGGGGUGGGUUGGGGCGCAAGAGGACAAGGCCUGGAGGGGUCUGCGAGAGUGCAGUCCCUCCUGCAGCCCUGGGCACCUGCCUGGCUGCCCCUGCAGGGCAGGGCCAGCACUCGGGUCUGGAGCUCCAGCAGGUGACUCGAUGGCAGAGGAAGUUGGUCCCUAGCAGAGGAAGUCAGUCUCCCGAGCCCUGUAGGGGAUUUUGAGGGGGAUUUCCAGCCAGGGAGCGGCUUUUAUUGAAGGUGCUACAUGGCUGUGAAAGGUCAGUCCUUUAUCAAAUGAGUCACAUUAGAGAGAGGAGCACUGCUGCAGCCUCUGUGGGUCCCAUGCUGUGCCAGAGGGAGGGCAGAUGCCAAGGCCUCCCCCAGCCUCCUCCGUCCUACUGGCUGGCACCCUGUAUGUGAUGGUUAAUGUGUGUCAGCUGCGCCCGUGGAGUGCCCAGAUUAAGGCUUACUUGUGGGUGUGUCUUGAGGGUAUUUCCUGAUGAGAUUAGCACUUGAUUCAGCGGGCUCUCCGCCCUCUUCCCCGGCACUCCCAGCAAAGGCCGACAACAGGAAACCGAGACAGACGCCAGGACCAUGUGGGUCCCCUGAGGUGUGUUUCGUGGGUGUCCGUGAGGAGAGUUGGUGCUGGCCUCCGGCCCAGUCUCUGAGCAGCCCCUCGCUGGCCGCGGUCAAGGCCGUCAGGACUCACGGCCUCGGUCUUGAGGAGGGGGCUCCGCCUAACGCCCUGCUUCUGUGUGAGGCUGCCAGCUCCCCUCUGCGGCCCCCCCCGAGGCUGCGCUGGGUCACGGGGGUCUGCAGGCCCCGAGGGUGGGCGCAAGGUGGGUGUGUGCCUAGGGGUGGGGGAGGUGCUGCCCGCUGCACUGCUGCGCUGCUGGACACAGAGAUGGUCCUUCCCCAAGGAAAAGCCCUCAGUUACCCCACGAGGUUCCCAGGGUCCCACAGAGAAGGGCCCAGUUCUGGCCCCAGCGUGGGGAGCAGUGUCCGGGGGCCUCUGCGAGCUGAGCCGUCACACUUACUGUUCAACCACAUGGUAACUGUCCAGCGGCAGAGCCGAGCUGCUGGAAGUUGAGAAAACAAAAAUAAGCUUCACCUCUGAUCCUGCUGCCGAGCGCAGCCGCCCAGUGCUGGCGGGGUUUCCGCGCACGUGUGAACAGCGUACACAUUUCUAACAACCCUGUGUGUGCAAGUGAGCAUGUUUGAAUGUCUGCCGCCAUCGCAGCCCCUCCCACCUUCCUGCCUGGACACUCCAGCUCCUGAGUGGCCGCGGGCUGUUUUCUCAAGGCGCAUUAACGUAAACUGUCUCCCACCCUGUGAUUUCAUUGACCUGGGUUUGGGGGUUGUUUGCAGUUUUUCCUGAUUAAAAUAGUGUUGGGAAGAACAUUUUGGCCUCUAAGACUCUUUCCUCAGGGCGUUUUCUCAGAAACUGUUACAGAAUCAGAGAGAGGAGCGUUUUGCAGCCAAGCUUCGGUGUAGGAAGAUUCCCACCAUGGGAGCCGUUCUUUCGUGAUGUUUCCCAUGUGAUGGGCCAGGAGUGGCCCUCCCAGUGUGGGGCCUGGGGCUGGGCGUCCCCGGGGCCGUGGCGGGAGAGUCCCGACAGCCUGGGCCGGGGGCUUUUGCAGAGACAGGCCCUUCUCCUGGACCCGCUCCUGGGCUGCUCUGCUGGGGCCGGGCUCGCAGUGGGCGUGCCCACACACAUUACCCCUCUCCCACCACCCGGUGGGCUGCCCUGGGGGUCGGUGCCUCUUAGGUGGAGGGUCCCCACCUUCUUUGUAGCAGUCUAGAGGGAGCGGGUUCUGGGCACACUUGACUAGACGUUCUCUUAACAGGCGACUGGCCAGUAAGUGGAGGCAGGCGCUUCUGGGAAGGUGGGCUGGGCCCUUGGUGACAAGGGCAGGAGGGGCCAGGUGGCCCACAGGCAGGCGAGGGCCACCUCCAGGCCUCUAGUCACUGUCACAGCCCUGCCCUCACUGCUGAUGUCAGGCAGGUCAGACCGCUCCCAGUGCUGUGGUUCGUCAAGGGGCUCAGUGCUGGAGGGCUCCCUGUGGGCUCCGGGGGUCCAGGUGGCUGCCCCAGGCCCUCGGCCUCAGUGUCACCUCCUCCCGUGAGACUUUCUCCUGGAAGCUUCGGCAAACCAUGGUGCCCAACAACUGAGGGAAGGCUCAGCUCCUCGCUCCCCGCCUACAGGUCCCGCUUCCUUUUCCUGGGAGCCCCCUGCCCUGCGCACACCCUACCGCCUCCAUAUUCCAGCGUCAACUCUGCCCACUGUGCUCAGCCUUUUAAACAGGCCCUUCCUCCUUAUGUCUUGACCAAGUGACUGGGGCUGAACAAAGGCCCUCUCCUUGACCACACACCAGCCAGGAUCCUCUGCGCCCUCCUCCUGUGGGAGCUCCCGAGCCCAUCCCUGCGGAGUCCGGCUGUAGGAAGAACCCUGCUGAGUCAGGUGGGAAAGAAUCCCCCCCAACGUGUGGUCACAAGAGCUGAUCAAACUCGCACGCCCUGUGCCCCCCGAGGUGUCAGAUCACCUGCCCGCCCUCAGCAAGGAUCCUCUUGGGUCGGUGGAGCCAGAACCCCCUCCGCAUGACGUCUCCUCUCAGUGCUGUUCCACCACGCCCCCAGCCCGUGGCCGUGGCCCCCACUGUCCCCGCUGUCCGUGGAGCUGAGGUGGCCUGUCUCCCCGAUCGCCGAGGUCCUGGGUAAAGUCUUCCUCACCAUUCUAACGAGUGUCAGAACACUGCUCUCCUGCAGGCUCCCUCCGGGCUGUGCCAGGGAAGGCUGGGUUAUCCUUGCUUGUGGGCUCCGGCCUGCGGGCUGAGGCGGCUCCAAGUGCUUUCUUAAGUGUCUGUCCCAAGCCCAGUGGUUGGCACUGGUUCUGAGGAGCUGUGAGCUGGUCUGGCUGCUGUCUCUAGUCCUGUCCCUCAUCUCACACCCAGGGCCUCCUGGUGCCCCAGGGCUGGGUGAGAGCUUGGUCAGCCCAGAAAGGCCGACUCCGAAGCCUGGCCUCCUGUGGGGCAUCGGUCUGGUGUCCAGGAGCACAUCCCGGACAGGCAGCCCUUCCCGUGCGGAUGUUAGCGCGCAGACGAGGAAGCAGGCAAAGCAGAGCUGAACAGGCGUCUUUAUCGGAGGAGGUCGCAGGCCCAGCGCAGACCUCCCAGAGGGGGCCGCGCCUCACAGGGUCGCAGACCCCUCUGACCCGCUUUCUCCUGCAUCGUGUGCAGAUACUGUCCCUGGAGACCCGCCCAGGGAGCUGUCCUGAGAGCUAACUAAAGGGGUGGCAUCAUAAACAUCCGAGUGAGGUACCCUCGGCUGUGCGCUGUUGUCUGGGGGCUGAGAGACCCCACAUCUCCAGGGAGGCUGCUGUGCAGGGCACGGUCCUCGUGUGACCGGUUGGUGUUUGCGUCCCACAGUGGGCGUGACCCUAGCGUGCCUGCUUUUCUGUGGGAGGAAUGUACCCAAAUCCUGUGGGGGCUGAACCGUGGCCCCACAAGGUACGUCCACCCGGAGCCACAGAAUGUGGCUCUUUGGAAGUGGGCUUUUCCGGAUGUGAUUAAGUUAAGGGUCUUGAGAGGAGCUCAUCCUGGAUGGCCGGGGUCGGCCCUCCAUCCAGUGACAAGUGUCCUUUAUAAGAAACACGCAGGGAGAGAGGAGAGCACGUUAUGAUGGAGGCAGACAUGGGAUGACACAGCCAGGCUGGGAGCCCAUCCCAGAGCAGCCCCUGUCCCCACGCGGAGGAUGGAAGGUGCCCACCUGCACCUCGAGGGCGGGCUUCGGGUGCAGUGUCCCUGGAGGAGCCGCGUGGAUUCACCAGAAGGGAGGGGCUCUUCCAGUACGUUCUAGAACCAGCCAGAAGGACUUGACUCCCAGCAGGAGCACAGCCCUGGUCAUGGAAAGGCCUGACCCCAGAACGAGAGACUUGAGUGGAUGCCACCAGCAACAAGCAGGACAGGGCAGCUCCGUCAUCUGUUUCCAGGUGGCAUCGCAGGUCAGGCAGGCAGGGGGGGACCUGAUUGCUCUCAGCACAUUCUCCGUGUGAUAACGGCCGAAUGAGUGUGGGGGCAGGCAAACUGUUGUCCAGGCCCCACCUCAUCCUCCGCCUCCCCACGGUCCCGGCUGGGUCCUCGCUGCCUACGUCAGCGCGAGACCUCCUGUCUGUCCCUGGGGUGUUGAACUUGGACAGCACGCUGUCCUUCUCUGUUGCCAGACAGGGACCUUUAUUGCUGCCUAAACCUGCGCCCAGAAACUCUCCCAAGUCCAGACCCCGCAGAGAGCCUGGCCCAUAAAAAGAGUUAUCCAGAGGGCAGCGCGCUCUCCCUGACCCCUGACCCGGGCCCGGCCACCAGGGCGCCUUUGAAUGUGGGGUUCUGGAACUUCUGUUUUCCGACCUGAAGUCACCCCCACAGAGGGGUCCGUACAGGCUGCACCAAACCAGGCCGCGGGGUGGACCACGAGGCUGCCCUGGAGAGAAGUGGAGAGAAACCCCCAGAACACCCCGGAACACCCCGGAACUCGGGGCUGCUGGCUCCGCAUGUCCCAGGCCACAGUGUCAGUCCCUCUCAGAGCUGAAAGUCUGAGGCCACAGUCUCAGAAGACAUUCAGGAAGUGCUGGGAGGCUCGUGGGCCGUGGGGCCCAAAUUUCAGGACGACGGAGCCGGCGGCUCUCAGCCUCCAGAGAACAGAGUGGAAGUCCGUCUGUCCCCCACCAUUGGUGGCCCAGGGACAGGAGCAACCAGGGCAUCAGUUCCUCUUUCACCCGAUCCCCCCGACCUCCUGUUCGCAGGUCGCUUUGUGUGGUCACCCAGGCAGGGCAUUGUGGCUGGGAUUUCUCUCCAGAAAGGACCCUGGAGUCCAAGAGAGAAGUCAGCUUGAAUGCCAGAAGCUGUGGUCCAGAACACUGCAAGUUUUCCCCAAUGUGGUGUUGUGAAAACUUUUUUGAAUCAGUAUUCCCUAAGUUGUGGUAAAAUGUACACAAUGUAAAAUUUACCUUUUUGACCAUUUUUAGGUGUACAGUUCAGUGGCACUAAGUACAUUCACAUUGUUGUGCAACCUUCACUAUUGUCCAUCUCCAGAACUUUUCCAUCUUCCCAAACUGAAACUCUGUCCGCAUUGAACACUAACUGCCCCCCCCGACCCCAGCCCCUGGCACCCACCGUUCUACUUCCUGUCUCUAUAGAUUUGACUCCUCAAGGGACCUCAUAUGAGUGGAAUCACACAGUGUUUGUCAUUUUGUGACUGGCUUAUCUCAGUGUAACGUUCUUGAGAUUCAUCCACGCUGCAGCAUUGUCAGAAUUUCAGUCCUUUUCCAGGCUGAGUACUAUUCCAUUGUGUGAUGGACCACCUCUGCUUAACCAUUCGUGGGUCGGUGGACACUUGGCUCACUUCCACUUCUGGCUUUGUGAAUAGUGCUGCUGUACAAAUCUCUCUUUGAGACCCUGCUUCCCUUCUUUUGGGUGUAUAUUUACAAGUGGAAUUUCUGGAUCGUGUGAUCAUUCUAUUUUUAAUUUUUGAGGAGCCACCAUGCUGUUCUCCACAGCAGCUGUGCUGUGUGACAUUCCCACCAGCCUUGCACAGGGACCCAGUUUCUCCACACCCUCACCCACUCUUGUCGUUUCUGUUUUUGUUUUUGGGUACUCCCAUCCUAAUGCGUGUGUGUUGUGGAAAGUGUUCAGGAUUUUCCAGUUUGAAGAACAGGAGGAUCGCCCACACCCUCCCCGAGAAGUGGUUCACGUGCCUUCUUUACCUCUCUCCACGUCGACAUGCGUGGUACGUGUCCAUGUGUCGUUUUGGGAGCAAGUUGCAGGCAUUUGGGUGCUAACAACAUCAGCUGACUUCUCCUGGGAUGAGCAGAGUGUCCCCUCGCCACCCUCAGGAUGUGCCAGAGUCCUGUCUGCUCUCCACACCCUUUUGAACAUCCCCAACCAUCCCAGUGGCUGCCAGGCUCCCCACUGGUUCGCACCCAGCCUCUCAGUCCAGACUCUUUUGUUGACGACGCCCACUUUGCUGGAGGUAGGGUCUGUGGUAGCCGUUGCCAACCUUAACUUUGCCCCCAGGAGAUGUUUACCAACGUCCAGAGAUGUUUGUGGCUGUCACUCUGGGGGGUGCUGUUAACACCCUACGACGUGUGGGGCGCCCCCACACCCUGGGGUACCCCACCCCUGACGUGAGCAGCUCUGUGGCCGAGAACCCUGGGCUGGAGACCCGCUGAGCUCUGAGUCGCACGUCUCCGGCCAGAUCCUUGGUGGCUUGUGUGCUUGCUCAUCAGCAGGCAGGUGGCCAACAUCGGGCCCCCCAACUUCGGCCUGCUGGGCGAGGGGCAUCUAGGACCCUCCACUGUGCAGGUGGGGUUCCCCUUUGGCAAGUCCUGAGUGACAUGGGUUGCCCCACUUUGUCCCGAUGGAUACCCCCGCACCCAGGAACCCUUCCUGGUGGCAUCCACCACUCUGAUGGUCCCAGGAGAAGCCAGUGACCAUGCUGGGGGCUGCAGAUUACGCUGCUCGCCCUUCGGUCCUCUGCGUGGACGGCAACGCUCUGUAAAGGAAGACCUCCCUCUAUUUCCCCUUCGGCCCAGUCUCUUCUACUUUUUUUGUUUAGUUUCAGCUUUAGAUUUUUAGAAAAUCUAUCUCUGGAUUGAUGCAUUUCUGUUCAUUCAAAGUGUUAAGAUGAGUGACAGCCAUUAUUCUGUUUGCCACUCAGAUUGUCCAAAAUUCAGCUGCUGGGAUUUCAUUCUGACUGGUUCCCGUCUCCACGCGCCACCUCCUUCCAGCCUCACCCUCUGCUCCGCUGUCUCGGGCUUGGGAUGGGCCCUUGCCCCAGUGCCUUCUGGUCAGGAACGGGAUCUCAGAACCAAGACCCCGGCAUGGUCAGAUGCUGCUGGUGUCAUUCUCUGAGCUGUUCCAUGAGACCAGCCUAGAUUAUAGAAUACAUAGGAAACGUACACAAAAACGAACGAGGACACCGUUUCCCUUUUAGACGCAGCGUUAGGAAGGCUCUUCUUAAACUGAAACUCUCGGUUUCUAAGAACUUCACUCUAUUACUCAGUUGCUUUGUCCCACAAGACUCGGUUUCGCAAUGUCAGCCUCAGCCCCAGGCGCCGGGGGAGCCUGCGAUUUCCCUGCGUCCUUGGUGCGCAGCGCAGGCCAGCUGAAGAGCAUCAGCCGGAACCACGUUCGGAAGCCGCCUGCAAGGAUUCUCCUCCCUGAAGGGGCGCAUAAUCAAAACGAAAAAUAUUUGAAAUUUAACCGUUUCCUCGAAAUACCAAAAAUAACACUCUGCACGUAGACUUUUUUCUUUCAAAUCUUGAAAAUAUUUUGAAAAUUUAAGUGUUUUAAGGUACUGUACCACACGCGGCCCCCACCCCAGAUAAGAGAGGGGCUCCGCCGCGUGGGGUCUCAGCCCGUGUCCCCUCCUGGUGCCUUUUCUGUGCUCUCAUGUGAUGCUCCAAUGCCUGGUCGCACGGGGCAAGUGACCAUGCCGCCACCCAAGCGUGUCUCGCCUGGCUCUGUGGACCAGUGGGCUGUUCCGGCGCAUGCAGCCGGCCCUGCCCGCACGGAGUGUUCCUGUGGCCGCUUGGGGUCCCUGCGGGGUUCACCCUCGGGAUGCGGCAGACCCAGACAGUGCCCUGGGCUUCCGUCCUCCUGCCCGCAUCAAGCCAGCAUCCUAUGGCAGCAUGUCCUUGUCCCCCAGCUGCCCAUCCAGUGCCAGCCACCUGCCUCUGGGGAACCCGACCUGGUUUCGUGUCAGCAGGAGCAGGCCAGUGGCUUGUGCUUACUCCCCGCAAGCUGCACACAGUCCCUGGGGGGCCGAGCAGGGCCGCUUCGCUCUGAAUGAGCUCCGUCCUCCGCACUGUGUGGCCUGGAGCAAGCUGCCCUCUCUGGGCCUCAUCCUCCCCACCUGUGAAAUAAGGCGAAUUGAGAAGCUCCUUCUCCUGAGGUGCUUGGGGCUUGAUGGCCAGUUAGGAGAGUGACGCAGGCGAGGGGCACGGAAGGCAUCAGGCCGUGGACUCUGGCACGUGAGGACACGGCUGGGCUGUCAGGAAGUGGCCUUCGAGGAACGGGAUAGGCUUUGCUCAAAUCCAGACGUGGCAGGUGUCCACCACCACUGCCCGCAAGAGGACGCCACCCCAUGCCAAGGGCACACCCAGCCAGGUGCAGACGGAGCUAAGGACACAGGCAGGAGGGAGACAGACAGACGACAGGCAGCAGAGCCGUCCUGGGGGCCGGGAGUCUGUUGGAGACCCUGAGCUCCCUUCAGGACUGUGACCCCACCCCAGGGCAGGCCUGUCUCACAGCGACGAGAACAUGACAGUGGGAAGUCGACGGAGGCCCUGGAUCCUGUGUUCCUCACCUGUGUCCCACCCACAGUCCCCCGGCCACUGUGUGCUCCCUCUGGAAUCCUCAGGCCGGCGGGGACGCAGGAACACGCAGCCGUCUGUGUCUGGGCAUGACCUGCGCUGUGCCCCCUUUUCUGGAGUUCUGGAGCACUGCCACACGGCCCCGACUCUGUCCAUCGCCCGGCUCCCCACCUCGGCCGCACCUCCCGCCUUGCCAUCACAGGCUGGGACAGCCACAGUCCACUCACUCAGCCUUCCGGGGGUGCACGGGUCGGGCAGGACCUGGUGUGAGAGCACCGUAGAGAAUUUGAACACCAUCAUGGAAUGGACCAGAAGGGAUCUGCUCUCAUCAUCUCCGGUCUGUCAAUUCUGAAUCAGGUCAGGGUGCAGCUCCCUCGCUGGCCCCCUCAGCUGCCCUGGGACGCCUCCACAAUGUGCCCUUCUCUGGCCACAUGCGGCUGUGGCUCCCUCCCCUCCAGACUUCUCCACCCCCACCCGUGGACCGUGGACCACCCCCACGUCCCUGCACGUCACCACACAGCAGAGGGCCGGGCAGCACAGAGGCAGGGCGAUGAGCACGGCGCAGAGGAGGCCGGUCCACCUCAGAGGAGUGACUGGGCCCUGUGGUCCCUGCGGGUGUUGUGGGGGACUGACAGGCCCCACGUUCCCUGUGCCUGGGAUGAGCCGGAGCCAGAACCCCAUGGCCUCGGCAGCUCCUGCAGGGCUUCACUGCCUGGCCAGGCCUGGCCUGGAGCCAACUUUUCCUCAUCGACUGUGGUCUGGGACUUUCCUGGUCAGGCUCCUUGCCACAGGGACAGCUGCCGGGGAAACCCCGUGUGAAAGUGGAGUCAUCCAGGUCAGCCCAGCAGCAAGGGUGCCGGUGAGGAGAAAGUAAACACAGCUGGGGCUUGCCCGGAGGAAACGGACGACCUGUGGUGGCCUGGUCACUGGGGGUGUCCAGCAGGGACUUCCCGUGGCUCCUAUGGCCUUUGGCUGAGACCCACGACAACUUUCACCAGAUACUUCCUCAAGGACCUGAAUCUGGGGGGCACUGUGCACCCAGAUGAAAGGUGCUGGAACUAGGUAGCGAUGAGUGCUGCACCAUGCCGUGAAUGACUUCGUGCCACUGAAUUGUGCAUUUGAAAGUGAUUAAAAUGGUAAAUUUUAUGUGCUGUGUAUUUUACCAGAAUAAAAAUAAAUAAGUAAAUGGGAAGAACUCA